GGAGCAGUAGUUCAGCGGUAGUGCUCUCGCUUCGCACGCGGGUACAGUUGGGUUCGGUUCCCGGCUGCUUUC
rnacentral:tRNA from 1 species